ensembl:processed_transcript
CACGGAUGACAAGGUAAGUGACAUCGUACAUGCUCUGGGUGUCUUGAGGAGCUUGUCUUUGGAUGAUGCUGAGCAGGUCUUUCUUUCUGGUAACGGUUAUCAUUACAGUGAAGUAAAAGAAUUUAACAGACAGAUUGACAAACAACUGACAAAAGAAGAGAGACCAUUUAAUAGGUGGGUAUUGCUCUUAUAUACUAAACAAUAUGGAGUCAGCAGUAAGGUUUCCUGUUUGGUUCUCCCAACAGUGCAUAUAUAUAUAUAUAUAUAUAUAUAUAUAUAUAUAUAUCUGUGUGUGUAUAUAUGUGUGUGUGUGUGUGUGUGUGUGUGUAUAUAUAUAUAUUAUAG